rnacentral:rRNA from 1 species
UACGAGGGGGGCAAGCGUUGUUCGGAAUUAUUGGGCGUAAAGGGCGCGUAGGCGGUGCGGUAAGUCACCUGUGAAAACUCUGGGCUCAACUCAGAGCCUGCAGGCGAAACUGCCGUGCUUGAGUGUGGGAGAGGUGCGUGGAAUUCCCAGUGUAGAGGUGAAAUUCGUAGAUAUUGGGAAGAACACCGGUGGCGAAGGCGGCUCACUGGCUCGUAUCUGACGCUCAGGCGCGACAGCGUGGGGAUCAAACAGG